GACGAACGCUGGCGGCGUGCCUAAUACAUGCAAGUCGAGCGCAGGAAACUGACGGAACUCUUCGGAGGGAAGGCAGUGGAAUGAGCGGCGGACGGGUGAGUAACACGUAAGGAACCUGCCUCAAGGAUUGGGAUAACUCCGAGAAAUCGGAGCUAAUACCGGAUAGUUCAACGGACCGCAUGGUCCGCUGAUGAAAGGCGCUCCGGCGUCACCUUGAGAUGGCCUUGCGGUGCAUUAGCUAGUUGGUGGGGUAACGGCCCACCAAGGCGACGAUGCAUAGCCGACCUGAGAGGGUGAUCGGCCACACUGGGACUGAGACACGACCCAGACGCCUACGGGAGGCAGCAGUAGGGAAUCUUCCACAAUGGACGAAAGUCUGAUGGAGCAACGCCGCGUGAGUGAUGAAGGUUUUCGGAUCGUAAAACUCUGUUGUAAGGGAAGAACACGUACGAGAGGAAAUGCUCAUACCUUGACGGUACCUUACGAGAAAGCCACGGCUAACUACGUGCCAGCAGCCGCAGUAA
rnacentral:rRNA from 1 species